GACGUAGGGCGCGAGCGUUGUCCGGAUUUAUUGGGCGUAAAGAGCUCGUAGGCGGCUUGACAAGUCACUUGUGAAAUCUCUGAGCUUAACUCAGAACGGCCAAGUGAAACUGUUGUGCUAGAGUGCAGAAGGGGCAAUCGGAAUUCUUGGUGUAGCGGUGAAAUGCGUAGAUAUCAAGAGGAACACCUGAGGUGAAGACGGGUUGCUGGGCUGACACUGACGCUGAGGCGCGAAAGCCAGGGGAGCAAACGGG
rnacentral:rRNA from 1 species